rnacentral:rRNA from 1 species
CUACGGGAUGCUCCAGUGGGGAAUAUUGCACAAUGGAGGAAACUCUGAUGCAGCAACGCCGCGUGGAGGAUGACACUUUUCGGAGCGUAAACUCCUUUUAUAUAGGAAGAAGAUGACGGUACUAUAUGAAUAAGCGCCGGCUAACUCUGUGCCAGCAGCCGCGGUAAUACGGAGGGCGCAAGCGUUACUCGGAAUCACUGGGCGUAAAGAGCGUGUAGGCGGAUUAAAAAGUCAGAAGUGAAAUCCUAUAGCUUAACUAUAGAACUGCUUCUGAAACUCUUAAUCUAGAAUGUGGGAGAGGUAGAUGGAAUUUCUGGUGUAGGGGUAAAAUCCGUAGAGAUCAGAAGGAAUACCGAUUGCGAAGGCGAUCUACUAGAACAUUAUUGACGCUGAGACGCGAAAGCGUGGGGAGCAAACAGGAUUAGAUACCCCUGUAGUC